UAGGGAAUUUUCCACAAUGGGCGAAAGCCUGAUGGAGCAAUGCCGCGUGCGGGAUGAAGGUCUUCGGAUUGUAAACCGCUUUUAUAUGUGAAGAUUAUGACGGUAGCAUAUGAAUAAGGAUCGGCUAACUACGUGCCAGCAGCCGCGGUGAUACGUAGGAUCCGAGCGUUAUCCGGAUUUAUUGGGCGUAAAGAGUUGCGUAGGCGGUAGAGUAAGCAAAUAGUGAAAGAGUGUGGCUUAACCAUACGAA
rnacentral:rRNA from 1 species